GCGGGUAUAGUUAGGUGGUAAAA
rnacentral:tRNA from 1 species